rnacentral:rRNA from 1 species
CCUACGGGAGGCAGCAGUGAGGAAUAUUGGUCAAUGGACGAGAGUCUGAACCAGCCAAGUAGCGUGAAGGAUGACUGUCCUAUGGGUUGUAAACCUCUUUUAUAUGGGAGUAAAAUGCUCCACGUGUGGGAUAUUGUAUGUACCAUAUGAAUAAGGAUCGGCUAACUCCGUGCCAGCAGCCGCGGUAAUACGGAGGAUCCGAGCGUUAUCCGGAUUUAUUGGGCUUAAAGGGUGCGUAGGUGGAUUGGUAAGUCAGUUGUGAAAGUUUGCGGCUUAACCGUAGAAUUGCAGUUGAAACUGGCAGUCUUGAGUACGGGAGAGGUAGGCGGAAUUCGUGGUGUAGCGGUGAAAUGCUUAGAUAUCACGAAGAACCCCGAUUGCGAAGGCAGCUUACUAGACUGUAACUGACAUUGAUGCUCGAAAGUGUGGGUAUCAAACAGGAUUAGAUACCCGUGUAGUC